AAUCCAGUGGCCUGAAGUAAUUGGGAUCAUAUCAUCAGUUUCACAUUUCAUAGUCAACACCCUGUUGCUCUGACAAGAAGAUGGAUUCUCUGGCUGCAGAGUACAUGUCAUUGUUCAUGAAGCAUUUGCCCAACAGGAACUUAAAUAUUAAUUGUGAAAAAACCGUAUGGGAUAUUUCGAAGUCCAAAGAACAGCCCUGAAUCAAGCCUAGUAGCUAGCACUUAUCAGAGAAAGGAGAAAGGUAUGAAGGCCCAU